rnacentral:rRNA from 1 species
CGACGCCGCGUGGGUGAAGAAGGCCGAGAGGUUGUAAAGCCCUUUUCUCAUGGAGGAAUAACACCUUGAGGAAAUGUGAGGUGGAUGACGUUAAAUGAGGAAUAAGCUCCGGCCAAUUACGUGCCAGCAGCCGCGGUAAUACGUAAGGAGCGAGCGUUGUUCGGAAUUAUUGGGCGUAAAGGGCUCGUAGGCGGCCUGCCAAGUCUCUCGUGAAAGACCAGGGCUCAACCCUGGGAGUGCGAGGGAAACUGGCAGGCUUUGGAAUCUUGGAGAGGGCGCUGGAAUUCCUGGUGUAGGGGUGAAAUCUGUUGAUAUCAGGAAGAACACCGGAGGCGAAGGCGAGCGCCUGGCCAAAGAUUGACGCUGAUGAGCGAAAGCGUAGGGAGCAAACAGGAUUAGAUACCCUGGUAGUCUACGCUGUAAACGAUGUGCACUUGAUGGUGGUUCCAUGCGGGAUCACUGUCGGAGCUAACGC